rnacentral:rRNA from 1 species
AUUGAACGCUGGCGGCAGGCCUAACACAUGCAAGUCGAACGAGUGGCGGACGGGUGAGUAAUGUCUGGGAAACUGCCUGAUGGAGGGGGAUAACUACUGGAAACGGUAGCUAAUCCCGCAUACCAUCAGAUGUGCCCAGAUGGGAUUAGCUGGUUGGUGGGGUAACGGCUCACCAAGGCGACGAUCCCUAGCUGGUCCGGGAGGAUGACCAGCCACACUGGAACUGAGACAGGGUCCAGACUCCAACGGAAGGAAGCGGUGGGGAAUAUUGGACAAUGAGGGCAAGCCUGAUGCAGCCAUGCCGCGUGUAUGAAGAAGGCCUUCGGGUUGUAAAGUACUUUCGGCGGGGAGGCGUUACCCGCAGAAGAAGCACCGGCUAACUCCGUGCCAGCAGCCGCGGUAAUUC